rnacentral:rRNA from 1 species
AACGAACGCUGGCGGCAGGCUUAACACAUGCAAGCCGAACGCAUCCUUCGGGGUGAGUGGCAGACGGGUGAGUAACGCGUGGGAACGUGCCCUUCAGUUCGGGAUAACCCAGGGAAACUUGGGCUAAUACCGGAUACGUGCGAGAGCAGAAAGAUUUAUCGCUGAAGGAUCGGCCCGCGUCUGAUUAGCUAGUUGGUGGGGUAAUGGCCCACCAAGGCGACGAUCAGUAGCUGGUCUGAGAGGAUGAUCAGCCACAUUGGGACUGAGACACGGCCCGAACUCCUACGGGAGGCAGCAGUGGGGAAUAUUGGACAAUGGGCGCAAGCCUGAUCCAGCCAUGCCGCGUGAGUGAUGAAGGCCUUAGGGUUGUAAAGCUCUUUCGUCCGGGACGAUAAUGACGGUACCGGAAGAAGAAGCCCCGGCUAACUUCGUGCCAGCAGCCGCCGUAA